AUUUAUAAAUGAUAAUUUUUAAUAUUUUAUUAAAUCAUUUGACUACAUUGUAUACUUAUUAUAUAUGUUUUGAAUAAUUAUUUUAUUCGGUAAUAUAUCCUUAAAUCAUUAUUAAUGAUGAUGACUCAUAUGCAUGAUCAUAAUAAAAAAUGGAUGUUAAUAUUUGUCUGUCUCCAACAAGAAGUUACUUUUGAAGUUUGUAUGGGAAAUUUCUAUAAUUUCUUUGAGGUAUGACCACGGGAGGUUGGGUGAUUAGAUGAAAUUUCACAAAUUAAUUUUACUGACAUUAUCCAAAGAGAAACCUAUCAAAUAUGUAUUUUUCCUAUUUUGCAUCUUUCCCUGAAUUUUCAAUUGGUCCUUUUUCUUCUUUUGCGUUUUACAAGUUUUAACAUAUUUCAAAAAAUUAUUGUUAGUUCCAGAUUCUUAUGUUCUGGGAUUAUAUGUUACAGAUUUUUCAGUCCAGGAUUUUACUUCCUCGCUUUUUACGUUCUGAAUUAUUGUUUAACAGAAUACUGAAUAUUACACUGUGGAUUUUAAUAGCUGUC